rnacentral:rRNA from 1 species
AUGGCCGCCGACUCCGCCGCCCGCUGCCCGUGGGACGAGCUCCCGGCGCACCUCCAGGAGCGCAUCCUCUCCCGCCUGCCGCUCACCGCGCUCGUCCCCGUCGCCGCCGUCUCCCGGGCGCUGCGCCGCCUCCUGCGCUCCCCGGCCUUCCACGCCCUCCUCUCCCAGCACCGCCUCGACGCCUUCUUCCUCCUCUCGCCGCGCCUCGCCUUCCACCCGCUCUCCCGGCGCCUCCUCCAGGUGCCCCCCUCGCCCCCGCUCGAUCCAUCUUGCCCUCCCCUCAUCUCCUCCGCCUCCCCCUCCUUCCUUGUCACCGCCGACUCGCUCCUCCGCCUCCCAGCGCUCCCCGACCGCUCCUACCUCAUCGCUGUCGUCGUCCCACCCUCACCCUCCUCCUCCAGCCGGGAUUACACCCUCGUCGCCGUCACCACCAACGGCGCCGCUGUCCGCUCGUAUUCCCUGGACUCCGCCGAUCCCUCCCCACGGUGGGUACCUGGGGCCGAGCUCCCGCUACCAUUUGCGAUCCUUGGCAAUGCUGCGGUCGCCAGUGACCGUGCUCGGCUCUUUGUGCUCGGCCGGGGUCCGGACGCACUUCUGGUGCUUGAUCUCGAGACCAGGAAGUGGGCUGCUCCGCCAGUUGUGAUGCCGCACGGCCUUACAACGGCGCACCUGUUUGUUCUCGAUGAUCGGCUGUUCUUGGUCGGUGGGGUGGAGAGGCUCGGGGUGCUGGAGCGGGUGGUGGUGUGGCAGUUGGACAACGACGAGGCAGUGGGAUGGGUGGAGGUAGCCGCAAUGCCGCCGGAGGUGUUCGAUGAGUUGGUGGCUGGUAGGCAUGGCAGUUUCUGGCACUUUCAGGCUGCGGACAGAAUGGGGACUCUUUGUCUGUACAAUGCUUUAGAUGGGAGGCUGGUGAUGUUUGAUGCGGUGGAUUGUGUAUGGACGAUGAUGCCACGAGUGUCUGGGUUAGGAGCCGGGGAGAGCCAAAUGUGGUUUGGGCAUGUCUUGGAGCCAGGCGUCGGCCUCUUGCUGGGACAACGCAGCCCGUGUUCAUGA